AACAUUGCUUAGUUUUGCACGACAUCAUUUGUUUCCAUUUACCGUAUGAAUAAAACUUUGAUGAACGUAAAGAUAUGUUGUACUUCUGCAAAUUGAUAUUAUGUUUCAUAAUUCUGAAAUUUCCAGUAAAUAUUAUCAAUCUAUGUAAAGGACUUCAUAAUAUAUGUUAUGAGUUAAGUACUCUAAUAGGAUUACUACUAUACUACAAAACUUUAUUUGUUUUGAUUUUAUGGUUAUAACAGUUCUAUGCAAAAUCAUGUCAAGGGCAUUAACAUAUUUUUGAUGUCACAAUUUAAAUUGCAGAUUUGUAUCCUUGAAAAAUACAUUCACAUGUCAGUCAGUAUAUGAGUGGUGUAUUAGUUCAAAAGGUCAUGUUCGGUUUUCAUAGCUAG
rnacentral:lncRNA from 1 species